rnacentral:rRNA from 1 species
UACGGAGGGGGCGAGCGUUAUUCGGAAUUAUUGGGCGUAAAGGGCGCGUAGGCGGCUGGGCAAGUCAAAGGUGAAAUCCCUCGGCUCAACUGAGGAACUGCCUUUGAAACUGCUCGGCUUGAGGCCGGGAGGGGGUAGCGGAAUUCCCAGUGUAGCGGUGAAAUGCGUAGAUAUUGGGAGGAACACCAGUGGCGAAGGCGGCUACCUGGACCGGUUCUGACGCUGAUGCGCGAAAGCGUGGGUAGCAAACAGG